rnacentral:hammerhead_ribozyme from 1 species
GUACUAAUGAGGAGUCUCAUACUAGGAGGAAACAGCUGUCCAGUAC